AUUGAACGCUGGCGGCAUGCCUUACACAUGCAAGUCGAACGGCAGCACGGGAGCAAUCCUGGUGGCGAGUGGCGAACGGGUGAGUAAUAUAUCGGAACGUGCCCAGUCGUGGAGGAUAACGCAGCGAAAGCUGUGCUAAUACCGCAUACGAUCUAAGGAUGAAAGCGGGGGAUCGCAAGACCUCGCGCGAUUGGAGCGGCCGAUAUCAGAUUAGCUGGUUGGUGGGGUAAAGGCCCACCAAGGCGACGAUCUGUAGCUGGUCUGAGAGGGCGACCAGCCACACUGGAACUGAGACACGGUCCAGACUCCUACGGGAGGCAGCAGUGGGGAAUUUUGGACAAUGGGCGCAAGCCUGAUCCAGCAAUGCCGCGUGCAGGAUGAAGGCCUUCGGGUUGUAAACUGCUUUUGUACGGAACGAAACGGCCCUUUCUAAUACAGGGGGCUAAUGACGGUACCGUAAGAAUAAGCACCGGCUAACUACGUGCCAGCCGCCGCAGUAAAAC
rnacentral:rRNA from 1 species